rnacentral:tRNA from 1 species
ACUAUUUUGGCAGAAAAUUGUAAUGAUUUUAGAAGUCAUAAAUGUAUAGGUUAAUUAUAUAGGUAGUA